rnacentral:rRNA from 1 species
GACGAACGCUGGCGGCGUGCUUAACACAUGCAAGUCGAACGAAAAGAGGGAAAGAGCCUGCUCUUUCCGGAAUUGAGUGGCAAACGGGUGAGUAACACGUAAACAACCUGCCUUCAGGAUGGGGACAACAGACGGAAACGACUGCUAAUACCGAAUAAGUUCCAAGAGCCGCAUGGCCCAUGGAAGAAAAGGUGGCCUCUACCUGUAAGCUAUCGCCUGAAGAGGGGUUUGCGUCUGAUUAGCUGGUUGGAGGGGUAACGGCCCACCAAGGCGACGAUCAGUAGCCGGUCUGAGAGGAUGAACGGCCACACUGGAACUGAGACACGGUCCAGACUCCUACGGGAGGCAGCAGUGGGGAAUCUUCCGCAAGAGGCGAAAGCCUGACGGAGCAACGCCGCGUGAGGGAUGACGGCCUUCGGGUUGUAAAACUCUGUGAUCCGGGACGAAAAGGCAGAGUGCGAAGAACAAACUGCAUUGACGGUACCGGAAAAGCAAGCCACGGCUAACUACGUG